rnacentral:tRNA from 1 species
AUAUAAAUAGUAUAAAUCUAAUACAUUUAAUUUCCAAUUAAAAAAUUUUACAUUAAUUUAUAUA